UUCCCUUAGUAACGGCGAGCGAAACGGGAAAAGCCCAGCACGUAGGCCGGCAGUUGUCAUGACUGUUUGGUGAUGCCGUGUGAAGGAGUGCCCAUUAUCUUGUGCCUAAAUAGUAUGUCCAAGUCCAUCUUGAAUGAGGCCAUGUACCCAUAGAGGGUGCUAGGCCCGUAGUGACUGCUAUUGGUAUAAGAGGGUAUCUCCAUGGAGUCGUGUUGCUUGAUAGUGCAGCACUAAGAGGGAGGUAAACUUCUUCUAAGGCUAAAUAUUACCAUGAGACCGAUAGCGAACAAGUACCGUGAGGGAAAGUUGAAAAGCACUCUGAAUAGAGAGUCAAAAAGUACGUGAAACUGUUUAAGGGAUUAAGCCUGAUGAACCUAAAUUUCUGAAUGGAGAAAUUCAAUAAUAUCGAUGAUUUAUAGUUGUCGUUAUUGUGCACUUUUCUCCUAGUAAGACGAUGCGAUCCAUUAGAAAAAUGUAUGUUCUGUACAUAGGCCCGAAUAGGAGUUUAGGCUUUUUGUGAGUACCAUGAAUUUGUUUUUAUGGGAAAGCGUCUAAACUAUUUGGUGUUCUUACAGAUAUCUGAUGGUGUUAAAAUGCUAUAUUUGAUGUUAAGGCAUCAGCAAGCUUCGGCUUGCAAUAUAUGCAU
rnacentral:rRNA from 1 species